GGGUUGUGAGGUUAAGCGACUAAGCGUACACGGUGGAUGCCCUGGCAGUCAGAGGCGAUGAAGGACGUGCUAAUCUGCGAUAAGCGUCGGUAAGGUGAUAUGAACCGUUAUAACCGGCGAUUUCCGAAUGGGGAAACCCAGUGUGUUUCGACACACUAUCAUUAACUGAAUCCAUAGGUUAAUGAGGCGAACCGGGGGAACUGAAACAUCUAAGUACCCCGAGGAAAAGAAAUCAACCGAGAUUCCCCCAGUAGCGGCGAGCGAACGGGGAGCAGCCCAGAGCCUGAAUCAGUGUGUGUGUUAGUGGAAGCGUCUGGAAAGGCGCGCGAUACAGGGUGACAGCCCCGUACACAAAAAUGCACAUGCUGUGAGCUCGAUGAGUAGGGCGGGACACGUGGUAUCCUGUCUGAAUAUGGGGGGACCAUCCUCCAAGGCUAAAUACUCCUGACUGACCGAUAGUGAACCAGUACCGUGAGGGAAAGGCGAAAAGAACCCCGGCGAGGGGAGUGAAAAAGAACCUGAAACCGUGUACGUACAAGCAGUGGGAGCCUCUUUAUGGGGUGACUGCGUACCUUUUGUAUAAUGGGUCAGCGACUUAUAUUCUGUAGCAAGGUUAACCGAAUAGGGGAGCCGAAGGGAAACCGAGUCUUAACUGGGCGUUAAGUUGCAGGGUAUAGACCCGAAACCCGGUGAUCUAGCCAUGGGCAGGUUGAAGGUUGGGUAACACUAACUGGAGGACCGAACCGACUAAUGUUGAAAAAUUAGCGGAUGACUUGUGGCUGGGGGUGAAAGGCCAAUCAAACCGGGAGAUAGCUGGUUCUCCCCGAAAGCUAUUUAGGUAGCGCCUCGUGAAUUCAUCUCCGGGGGUAGAGCACUGUUUCGGCAAGGGGGUCAUCCCGACUUACCAACCCGAUGCAAACUGCGAAUACCGGAGAAUGUUAUCACGGGAGACACACGGCGGGUGCUAACGUCCGUCGUGAAGAGGGAAACAACCCAGACCGCCAGCUAAGGUCCCAAAGUCAUGGUUAAGUGGGAAACGAUGUGGGAAGGCCCAGACAGCCGGGAUGUUGGCUUAGAAGCAGCCAUCAUUUAAAGAAAGCGUAAUAGCUCACUGGUCGAGUCGGCCUGCGCGGAAGAUGUAACGGGGCUAAACCAUGCACCGAAGCUGCGGCAGCGACACUAUGUGUUGUUGGGUAGGGGAGCGUUCUGUAAGCCUGUGAAGGUGUACUGUGAGGUAUGCUGGAGGUAUCAGAAGUGCGAAUGCUGACAUAAGUAACGAUAAAGCGGGUGAAAAGCCCGCUCGCCGGAAGACCAAGGGUUCCUGUCCAACGUUAAUCGGGGCAGGGUGAGUCGACCCCUAAGGCGAGGCCGAAAGGCGUAGUCGAUGGGAAACAGGUUAAUAUUCCUGUACUUGGUGUUACUGCGAAGGGGGGACGGAGAAGGCUAUGUUGGCCGGGCGACGGUUGUCCCGGUUUAAGCGUGUAGGCUGGUUUUCCAGGCAAAUCCGGAAAAUCAAGGCUGAGGCGUGAUGACGAGGCACUACGGUGCUGAAGCAACAAAUGCCCUGCUUCCGGGAAAAGCCUCUAAGCAUCAGGUAACAUCAAAUCGUACCCCAAACCGACACAGGUGGUCAGGUAGAGAAUACCAAGGCGCUUGAGAGAACUCGGGUGAAGGAACUAGGCAAAAUGGUGCCGUAACUUCGGGAGAAGGCACGCUGAUAUGUAGGUGAAGUCCCUCGCGGAUGGAGCUGAAAUCAGUCGAAGAUACCAGCUGGCUGCAACUGUUUAUUAAAAACACAGCACUGUGCAAACACGAAAGUGGACGUAUACGGUGUGACGCCUGCCCGGUGCCGGAAGGUUAAUUGAUGGGGUUAGCGGUAACGCGAAGCUCUUGAUCGAAGCCCCGGUAAACGGCGGCCGUAACUAUAACGGUCCUAAGGUAGCGAAAUUCCUUGUCGGGUAAGUUCCGACCUGCACGAAUGGCGUAAUGAUGGCCGUGCUGUCUCCACCCGAGACUCAGUGAAAUUGAACUCGCUGUGAAGAUGCAGUGUACCCGCGGCAAGACGGAAAGACCCCGUGAACCUUUACUAUAGCUUGACACUGAACAUUGAGCCUUGAUGUGUAGGAUAGGUGGGAGGCUUUGAAGUGUGGACGCCAGUCUGCAUGGAGCCGACCUUGAAAUACCACCCUUUAAUGUUUGAUGUUCUAACGUUGGCCCCUGAUCGGGGUUGCGGACAGUGUCUGGUGGGUAGUUUGACUGGGGCGGUCUCCUCCUAAAGAGUAACGGAGGAGCACGAAGGUUGGCUAAUCCUGGUCGGACAUCAGGAGGUUAGUGCAAUGGCAUAAGCCAGCUUGACUGCGAGCGUGACGGCGCGAGCAGGUGCGAAAGCAGGUCAUAGUGAUCCGGUGGUUCUGAAUGGAAGGGCCAUCGCUCAACGGAUAAAAGGUACUCCGGGGAUAACAGGCUGAUACCGCCCAAGAGUUCAUAUCGACGGCGGUGUUUGGCACCUCGAUGUCGGCUCAUCACAUCCCGGGGCUGAAGUAGGUCCCAAGGGUAUGGCUGUUCGCCAUUUAAAGUGGUACGCGAGCUGGGUUUAGAACGUCGUGAGACAGUUCGGUCCCUAUCUGCCGUGGGCGCUGGAGAACUGAGGGGGGCUGCUCCUAGUACGAGAGGACCGGAGUGGACGCAUCACUGGUGUUCGGGUUGUCAUGCCAAUGGCACUGCCCGGUAGCUAAAUGCGGAAGAGAUAAGUGCUGAAAGCAUCUAAGCACGAAACUUGCCCCGAGAUGAGUUCUCCCUGACUCCUUGAGAGUCCUGAAGGAACGUUGAAGACGACGACGUUGAUAGGCCGGGUGUGUAAGCGCAGCGAUGCGUUGAGCUAACCGGUACUAAUGAACCGUGAGGCUUAACCUUACAACGCCGAAG
rnacentral:rRNA from 1 species